AAUCCUGGCUCAGGAUGAACGCUAGCUACAGGCUUAACACAUGCAAGUCGAGGGGCAGCAUCAUCAAAGCUUGCUUUGAUGGAUGGCGACCGGCGCACGGGUGAGUAACACGUAUCCAACCUGCCGACAACACUGGGAUAGCCUUUCGAAAGAAAGAUUAAUACCGGAUGGUAUAGUUUUCCCGCAUGGGAUAAUUAUUAAAGAAUUUCGGUUGUCGAUGGGGAUGCGUUCCAUUAGGCAG
rnacentral:rRNA from 1 species